AUUGAACGCUGGCGGCAGGCCUAACACAUGCAAGUCGAGCGGAUGAAGGGAGCUUGCUCCUGGAUUCAGCGGCGGACGGGUGAGUAAUGCCUAGGAAUCUGCCUGGUAGUGGGGUAUAACGUCCGGAAACGGGCGCUAAUACCGCAUACGUCCUGAGGGAGAAAGUGGGGGAUCUUCGGACCUCACGCUAUCAGAUGAGCCUAGGUCGGAUUAGCUAGUUGGUGGGGUAAAGGCCUACCAAGGCGACGAUCCGUAACUGGUCUGAGAGGAUGAUCAGUCACACUGGAGCUGGGACACGGUCCAGACUCCUACGGGAGGCAGCAGUGGGGAAUAUUGGACAAUGGGCGAAAGCCUGAUCCAGCCAUGCCGCGUGUGUGAAGAAGGUCUUCGGAUUGUAAAGCACUUUAAGUUGGGAGGAAGGGCAGUAAGUUAAUACCUUGCUGUUUUGACGUUACCAACAGAAUAAGCACCGGCUAACUUCGUG
rnacentral:rRNA from 1 species